GUACCACCGUGAUGGUGCCUUGAUUUGGACAUUUUCUUGGCCUCGAAACUGAACAGGAGACCUAUACCUUCAACCUCUCCUUGGCUGUCUCCUUCCAUCACCUUCUGAGCUCCUUGCAGUACGGAUUCUGCCACCACCACUCAACAGGAACCACUCUCGAUAUCUCGUGUCCUUUCUUUACGCUAUUUAAAUACUACCUUGAUUGCUUCCAAGUCUACUCAGAAGGAUUGGAAAUAAGCCC